GUUUUGCGUCGCUUCGUGCAAUAGUUUGUCACCCUGUUGUCAGAGUUUAAUAGCAUUUCACCGUUCCUCUCCUCAGGCAAGUUUCUUCUUCCUCAUAAGAUGCUUAUCCAUGCAUUGGUGAGAUGAGGUGAACGACUUUUUCAAUAAGGCAAGGUAUAUUUCAGGGCUAAGGUUAUCUUUGGAUUAAAUGCUCUUGUGGGGAAACAUGUAAAUCUCAGUUCUGCUAUUGGACCUUGGAGCUAAGUCAAUGCUAUCUCUUAUAUGUUACAGGCACAAUAAGAC